rnacentral:rRNA from 1 species
UACGGGGGGGGCAAGCGUUGUUCGGAAUUACUGGGCGUAAAGGGCGCGUAGGCGGUUCGCUAAGUUGGAUGUGAAAACUCUGGGCUCAACCCAGAGCCUGCAUCCAAAACUGGCGGGCUAGAGUUCUGGAGGGGGUAGCGGAAUUCCUGGUGUAGCGGUGAAAUGCGUAGAUAUCUGGAGGAACACCGGUGGCGAAGGCGGCAUCCUGGACCAACAUUGACGCUGAGGAGCGAAAGCCAGGGGAGCAAACGGG